rnacentral:hammerhead_ribozyme from 1 species
CAUUGCCGAGGAGUCCCAUAAUAGGACGAAACUCUAGUCCAGAGC